rnacentral:lncRNA from 1 species
UGUGAAACAUCAGUGCCUCUCAAACUUUGAGGUAGCUUGUAAUCCGUAAGGUCUUCCUCUAACCUAUGAUCCUUCAAGAAGUAUUUCAUCAAGCCCCUAAAGCUGUACCUGUAGCCAUAUUUUACUCUUACCUUCAUCAUAGAGGAUCUCAACACAACACCCACAUUAUUAACUUUGUUAGUCGUAAGUGCAUAAGAUAAAAUUACCCGAUUACAAGUGAUGUUGGACAAUUGGG